UGCCAGCAGCCGCGGUAAUACGGAGGGGGUUAGCGUUGUUCGGAAUUACUGGGCGUAAAGCGCACGUAGGCGGAUUAGAAAGUUGGGGGUGAAAUCCCAGGGCUCAACCCUAGAACUGCCUCCAAAACUACUAGUCUUGAGUUCGAGAGAGGUGAGUGGAAUUCCGAGUGUAGAGGUGAAAUUCGAAGAUAUUCGGAGGAACACCAGUGGCGAAGGCGGCUCACUGGCUCGAUACUGACGCUGAGGCGCGAAAGCUAGGGGAGCAAACAGGAUUAGAUA
rnacentral:rRNA from 1 species